CUUCGGAGCACCUGCACAGGUGCUGCAUGGCUGUCGUCAGCUCGUGUCGUGAGAUGUUGGGUUAAGUCCCGCAACGAGCGCAACCCUUAUCCCUAGUUGCCAUCAGGUAAAGCUGGGAACUCUGGGGAGACUGCCGGUGAUAAACCGGAGGAAGGCGGGGAUGACGUCAAGUCCUCAUGGCCCUUACAUCCCGGGCUACACACGUGCUACAAUGGCAGGUACAGAGGGCUGCGAAGCCGCGAGGUGGAGCGAAUCCCAGAAAACCUGUCUCAGUCCGGAUUGAAGUCUGCAACUCGACUUCAUGAAGGCGGAAUCGCUAGUAACCGCGAAUCAGCAGGUCCGCGGUUCCGAAUACGUUCCGGGCCUU
rnacentral:rRNA from 1 species